rnacentral:rRNA from 1 species
GGGUUGUGAGGUUAAGCGACUAAGCGUACACGGUGGAUGCCCUGGCAGUCAGAGGCGAUGAAGGGCGUGCUAAUCUGCGAUAAGCGCCGGUAAGGUGAUAUGAACCGUUAUAACCGGCGAUACCCGAAUGGGGAAACCCAGUGUGACUCGUCACACUAUCAUUAACUGAAUCCAUAGGUUAAUGAGGCGAACCGGGGGAACUGAAACAUCUAAGUACCCCGAGGAAAAGAAAUCAACCGAGAUUCCCCCAGUAGCGGCGAGCGAACGGGGAGGAGCCCAGAGCCUGAAUCAGCAUGUGUGUUAGUGGAAGCGUCUGGAAAGGCGCGCGAUACAGGGUGACAGCCCCGUACACAAAAGCGCAUGUGCUGUGAGCUCGAUGAGUAGGGCGGGACACGUGGUAUCCUGUCUGAAUAUGGGGGGACCAUCCUCCAAGGCUAAAUACUCCUGACUGACCGAUAGUGAACCAGUACCGUGAGGGAAAGGCGAAAAGAACCCCGGCGAGGGGAGUGAAAAAGAACCUGAAACCGUGUACGUACAAGCAGUGGGAGCCCCACCACUAAGCCAGUGGUGAACUCCACAUACGCAUCCUUUGCUGAGGAUACGGUUAACGGAGCGAAAGCGACGUUCAACCGCAAAAGAAGCAGAGGGGGCUUAGUGGUGGGGUGACUGCGUACCUUUUGUAUAAUGGGUCAGCGACUUAUAUUCUGUAGCAAGGUUAACCGAAUAGGGGAGCCGGAGGGAAACCGAGUCUUAAUUGGGCGUUAAGUUGCAGGGUAUAGACCCGAAACCCGGUGAUCUAGCCAUGGGCAGGUUGAAGGUUGGGUAACACUAACUGGAGGACCGAACCGACUAAUGUUGAAAAAUUAGCGGAUGACCUGUGGCUGGGGGUGAAAGGCCAAUCAAACCGGGAGAUAGCUGGUUCUCCCCGAAAGCUAUUUAGGUAGCGCCUCGUGAAUUCAUCUCCGGGGGUAGAGCACUGUUUCGGCUAGGGGGCCAUCCCGGCUUACCAACCCGAUGCAAACUGCGAAUACCGGAGAAUGUUAUCACGGGAGACACACGGCGGGUGCUAACGUCCGUCGUGAAGAGGGAAACAACCCAGACCGCCAGCUAAGGUCCCAAAGUCAUGGUUAAGUGGGAAACGAUGUGGGAAGGCCCAGACAGCCAGGAUGUUGGCUUAGAAGCAGCCAUCAUUUAAAGAAAGCGUAAUAGCUCACUGGUCGAGUCGGCCUGCGCGGAAGAUGUAACGGGGCUAAACCAUGCACCGAAGCUGCGGCAGCGACACUCAGGUGUUGUUGGGUAGGGGAGCGUUCUGUAAGCCUGCGAAGGUGGCCUGUGAGGGUUGCUGGAGGUAUCAGAAGUGCGAAUGCUGACAUAAGUAACGAUAAAGCGGGUGAAAAGCCCGCUCGCCGGAAGACCAAGGGUUCCUGUCCAACGUUAAUCGGGGCAGGGUGAGUCGACCCCUAAGGCGAGGCCGAAAGGCGUAGUCGAUGGGAAACGGGUUAAUAUUCCCGUACUUGGUGUUACUGCGAAGGGGGGACGGAGAAGGCUAUGUUGGCCGGGCGACGGUUGUCCCGGUUUAAGCGUGUAGGCUGGUUUUCCAGGCAAAUCCGGAAAAUCAAGGCUGAGGCGUGACGACGAGGCACUACGGUGCUGAAGCAACAAAUGCCCUGCUUCCAGGAAAAGCCUCUAAGCAUCAGGUAACAUCAAAUCGUACCCCAAACCGACACAGGUGGUCAGGUAGAGAAUACCAAGGCGCUUGAGAGAACUCGGGUGAAGGAACUAGGCAAAAUGGUGCCGUAACUUCGGGAGAAGGCACGCUGACAUGUAGGUGAAGUGAUUUACUCAUGGAGCUGAAGUCAGUCGAAGAUACCAGCUGGCUGCAACUGUUUAUUAAAAACACAGCACUGUGCAAACACGAAAGUGGACGUAUACGGUGUGACGCCUGCCCGGUGCCGGAAGGUUAAUUGAUGGGGUCAGCGCAAGCGAAGCUCCUGAUCGAAGCCCCGGUAAACGGCGGCCGUAACUAUAACGGUCCUAAGGUAGCGAAAUUCCUUGUCGGGUAAGUUCCGACCUGCACGAAUGGCGUAAUGAUGGCCAGGCUGUCUCCACCCGAGACUCAGUGAAAUUGAACUCGCUGUGAAGAUGCAGUGUACCCGCGGCAAGACGGAAAGACCCCGUGAACCUUUACUAUAGCUUGACACUGAACAUUGAGCCUUGAUGUGUAGGAUAGGUGGGAGGCUUUGAAGUGUGGACGCCAGUCUGCAUGGAGCCGACCUUGAAAUACCACCCUUUAAUGUUUGAUGUUCUAACGUGGACCCGUGAUCCGGGUUGCGGACAGUGUCUGGUGGGUAGUUUGACUGGGGCGGUCUCCUCCUAAAGAGUAACGGAGGAGCACGAAGGUUGGCUAAUCCUGGUCGGACAUCAGGAGGUUAGUGCAAUGGCAUAAGCCAGCUUGACUGCGAGCGUGACGGCGCGAGCAGGUGCGAAAGCAGGUCAUAGUGAUCCGGUGGUUCUGAAUGGAAGGGCCAUCGCUCAACGGAUAAAAGGUACUCCGGGGAUAACAGGCUGAUACCGCCCAAGAGUUCAUAUCGACGGCGGUGUUUGGCACCUCGAUGUCGGCUCAUCACAUCCUGGGGCUGAAGUAGGUCCCAAGGGUAUGGCUGUUCGCCAUUUAAAGUGGUACGCGAGCUGGGUUUAGAACGUCGUGAGACAGUUCGGUCCCUAUCUGCCGUGGGCGCUGGAGAACUGAGGGGGGCUGCUCCUAGUACGAGAGGACCGGAGUGGACGCAUCACUGGUGUUCGGGUUGUCAUGCCAAUGGCACUGCCCGGUAGCUAAAUGCGGAAGAGAUAAGUGCUGAAAGCAUCUAAGCACGAAACUUGCCCCGAGAUGAGUUCUCCCUGAGACUUUAGGUCUCCUGAAGGAACGUUGAAGACGACGACGUUGAUAGGCCGGGUGUGUAAGCGCAGCGAUGCGUUGAGCUAACCGGUACUAAUGAACCGUGAGGCUUAACCUUACAACGCCGAAG